rnacentral:rRNA from 1 species
CCUACGGGAGGCAGCAGUGGGGAAUAUUGGACAAUGGGGGCAACCCUGAUCCAGCCAUGCCGCGUGUGUGAAGAAGGCCCUCGGGUUGUAAAGCACUUUCAGUGAGGAAGAACGCCUGGUGGUUAAUACCCAUCAGGAAAGACAUCACUCACAGAAGAAGCACCGGCUAACUCCGUGCCAGCAGCCGCGGUAAUACGGAGGGUGCGAGCGUUAAUCGGAAUUACUGGGCGUAAAGCGCGCGUAGGUGGCUUGAUAAGCCGGUUGUGAAGGCCCCGGGCUCAACCUGGGAACGGCAUCCGGAACUGUCAAGCUAGAGUGCAGGAGAGGAAGGUAGAAUUCCCGGUGUAGCGGUGAAAUGCGUAGAGAUCGGGAGGAAUACCAGUGGCGAAGGCGGCCUUCUGGACUGACACUGACACUGAGGUGCGAAAGCGUGGGUAGCAAACAGGAUUAGAUACCCGAGUAGUC